GACGAACGCUGGCGGCGCGCCUAACACAUGCAAGUCGAACGAGCGAGAGAGAGCUUGCUUUCUCGAGCGAGUGGCGAACGGGUGAGUAACGCGUGAGGAACCUGCCUCAAAGAGGGGGACAACAGUUGGAAACGACUGCUAAUACCGCAUAAGCCCACGGGUCGGCAUCGACCAGAGGGAAAAGGAGCAAUCCGCUUUGAGAUGGCCUCGCGUCCGAUUAGCUAGUUGGUGAGGUAACGGCCCACCAAGGCAACGAUCGGUAGCCGGACUGAGAGGUUGAACGGCCACAUUGGGACUGAGACACGGCCCAGACUCCUACGGGAGGCAGCAGUGGGGAAUAUUGCACAAUGGGGGAAACCCUGAUGCAGCGACGCCGCGUGGAGGAAGAAGGUCUUCGGAUUGUAAACUCCUGUUGUUGGGGAAGAUAAUGACGGUACCCAACAAGGAAGUGACGGCUAACUACGUGCCAGCAGCCGCGGUAAAACGUAGGUCACAAGCGUUGUCCGGAAUUACUGGGUGUAAAGGGAGCGCAGGCGGGAAGACAAGUUGGAAGUGAAAUCUAUGGGCUCAACCCAUAAACUGCUUUCAAAACUGUUUUUCUUGAGUAGUGCAGAGGUAGGCGGAAUUCCCGGUGUAGCGGUGGAAUGCGUAGAUAUCGGGAGGAACACCAGUGGCGAAGGCGGCCUACUGGGCACCAACUGACGCUGAGGCUCGAAAGUGUGGGUAGCAAACAGGAUUAGAUACCCUGGUAGUCCACACCGUAAACGAUGAUUACUAGGUGUUGGAGGAUUGACCCCUUCAGUGCCGCAGUUAACACAAUAAGUAAUCCACCUGGGGAGUACGACCGCAAGGUUGAAACUCAAAGGAAUUGACGGGGGCCCGCACAAGCAGUGGAGUAUGUGGUUUAAUUCGACGCAACGCGAAGAACCUUACCAAGUCUUGACAUCCCUUGACAGACAUAGAAAUAUGUAUUCUCUUCGGAGCAAGGAGACAGGUGGUGCAUGGUUGUCGUCAGCUCGUGUCGUGAGAUGUUGGGUUAAGUCCCGCAACGAGCGCAACCCUUAUGGUCAGUUACUACGCAAGAGGACUCUGGCCAGACUGCCGUUGACAAAACGGAGGAAGGUGGGGAUGACGUCAAAUCAUCAUGCCCUUUAUGACUUGGGCUACACACGUACUACAAUGGCGUUAAACAAAGAGAAGCAAGACCGCGAGGUGGAGCAAAACUCAGAAACAACGUCCCAGUUCGGACUGCAGGCUGCAACUCGCCUGCACGAAGUCGGAAUUGCUAGUAAUCGUGGAUCAGCAUGCCACGGUGAAUACGUUCCCGGGCCU
rnacentral:rRNA from 1 species